GGCAUGUUUUGAGGGACCUGCCAAUCCUGAAGCUGUUUGACAGAAGCUGCGCUUUUGAAGGACCGAAGCACAGCUCUUGCGACACCAACACAGACCUAUUGUGCUUUUUAGACUUGAAAAACCCAGAAAUAUCUGAAAACUGAGAAUUACGCCACUGUGAACAUGAAGAUUGGGUCAUAUUUUGGAGCUUCUCUAAAUCUGUUGGAUGUGGACUCAGAUGGAGACUCAGAUUUCCUUCUGGUUGGAGCGCCGUUAUUUCAUCAGUCUCAGCCGAGGGCAGAAGGGAGGCUGUAUGUCUACACUUUAUCGGAGGAGUAUUUUCAGAAGACACUAAUCGUGAGCGAGUCAAACACAGGCAGAUUUGCGGCAUGUUUGGCUUCACUAAAGGACCUGAAUGGAGACAGCCUGUCAGAUGUGGCAGUGGGGGCGCCGCUUGAGAACGAAGGUGAGGGAGUCGUCUACAUCUACCUGGGCGACAGGACACAUGGCAUAAACCCCGAACACGCUCAGGUGAGAGUCUGCUUUAGUUCCCUCAAUCCCAAACAUUGUGUUUGUGGCCAGUUUAACCCAGAAUCCCAGACGAGACAAAUGUUCACAGAUAAACAGACAGACAUGGCAGGAUAAACGUGUACUUCUGUCAGGACCACUAUCGUCAAAUAUGAUUGAUAAUGCAUAGAGUUUGUAUUGGCGUCAUGAUUCUGUUCUGGGCAAGAACUCCCUGCGCAUCCAUGCAGCCUAGCAUGGAUAAGAGCAGGGAGAGCAGCAAUAACCCCCCCCCCCAACCCCCCUAACGCUAACGCUUGAUAAUAAUGAACCACUUUGACACAGUGGAUCGCUUCAGGUUUUCUCCAUUACCAGUUGUAAACAAGCAUUAAAAACUACCCAGAGUCUGAGGACAAAAGAUGUUUGGUGUGACACAGAUAUUCAGACUCGUAUGGUGUAUUCAUAUAGCUGCUUAGUGUAUUCGUAUAGCCAAAUGCAUAUCCUUUCAAAGUAAACUCCAAACACAGAUGCUCGACACAUGCGCACUAGAUAGUUUCAAGCGUUCAUCACCUUGCACUUUGUUUUUGUUGCAUCUCCUGAAUGUGGACAUGAUGAGAGGACUCAAUCAAGGAUUCUUCGUUCAGAAUGACCUGUCAUCCCGGACUCUGCAGCAGUUCGUCCUGCUGGAUUCUGGAAUCUCCUGUUUCAGCUUCCCCAUCUUCAUGCUGCGCUGCACUGCUGACACAGUGUCUCCUCUGAAGAUACGAAUGAAUUUCUUACAAACCGAGAUGUUUUCUGCAAACUCUGCGGCAAUUCUCGAUAUCCACAGCAGGAUGGAGGAGUAUGUCAAGGAACGACACACUACUGGUGGUGAAUCAAGCUCAUUUUACUGUCCUCGUUUCGCUGGCCAACCCAGGCGACGACUCCUUCAACACCAGCAUAGUGCUGCACUACCCAGAAGGCCUCUCACUCUCUAAAUUUGACACUGUUAAGGUGUGUUUGGAGAUACAAAUUGAGUCAGUGAUGGAGGGAGAUUCUGUCAUUCUAAAGCCUGAUGCUACAGUGAGAGGAAACGAUCGAGUAGAGGUUUGGACAAAACAACAUUCUCACUGCCUGACUCAACAGACAGAAUGAUAAGAUCAGGUUUUAUAAUGAUAGUGCUGCUGGGAGAUUCAGAGACUGAAACUGGAUCAUCAGACUGGAACUCUGACCAUCAACAACACCAGAACCACAGACUCUGGACUUUAUACAGUCACCAGAACCAACAAGGAGACACCACUGAACAUAUUCAGUCACACUGAUUCAAUAGUUUAUUUCAUUUUUCUGCUGACGACGCCCAAAAGUGUAUAAGUCAUCACAUGAUGAUCAGUGUUUCUCCCAAUGCUUUAGCACCCCUUGUGAUUCAGUAUGGAAACACAUACUUUUGGUCUUAGUGUUCAUGAAUGUGUUUUCUGAGAGUGAGAGGCAGUCAUGUGGCGCCUCCUGAUUAUUAUCUUGCUAAUUUCUUUGUCAGUUUUAGGUAAACGACGUCACAUCAUCAGUCAACUCAUGACAUAUACUUUCCGCAUAUAAACUGCCACCAGAUGGACCUAAAUCCUUGCAUGUGCAUUAGGAGAGACACCUGAAUAACUGUUAGAUUAAUUAGCUGUUUUAUUGAACUAAACUAGAGAAUAAUUGUUUUCAAUGUUUUCUUCUGAACAUAUUCAGUUAGAAGGUUGUUUUAAGGGUGAACUCUCUCUCCCUGAGUAUUCU